rnacentral:rRNA from 1 species
UACGUAGGGUGCGAGCGUUAAUCGGAAUUACUGGGCGUAAAGCGUGCGCAGGCGGUGAUGUAAGACCGAUGUGAAAUCCCCGGGCUUAACCUGGGAACUGCAUUGGUGACCGCAUUGCUGGAGUAUGGCAGAGGGGGGUGGAAUUCCACGUGUAGCAGUGAAAUGCGUAGAGAUGUGGAGGAACACCGAUGGCGAAGGCAGCCCCCUGGGCCAAUACUGACGCUCAUGCACGAAAGCGUGGGGAGCAAACAGG